rnacentral:rRNA from 1 species
GACGAACGCNGGCGGCGUGCUUAACACAUGCAAGUCGAACGGAGCGAAUGAAAGCUUGCUUUUAUGAGCUUAGUGGCAAACGGGUGAGUAACACGUAGACAACCUGCCGACAGGAUGGGGACAACAUUCCGAAAGGAAUGCUAAUACCGAAUGAAGCGGAGGAGAGGCAUCUCUCUUCCGUGAAAGAUGGCCUCUAUUUAUAAGCUAUCACCUGCCGAUGGGUCUGCGUCUGAUUAGCUGGUUGGUGAGGUAACGGCUCACCAAGGCGACGAUCAGUAGCCGGUCUGAGAGGAUGAACGGCCACAUUGGGACUGAGACACGGCCCAGACUCCUACGGGAGGCAGCAGUGGGGAAUCUUCCGCAAUGGGCGCAAGCCUGACGGAGCAACGCCGCGUGAGUGAAGAAGGUCUUCGGAUCGUAAAGCUCUGUUGACGGGGACGAACGUGCGAGAGGNGAAUAAACUCUNGCAANGACG